AUGGCGCCGUCGGGGCCGAGGAAGCGCAGGGUGAACCGCCCGGAGAACGAGGAGGUGGCGGCCUGGCUCUUCUUGAAGCACCGGGCCAUGGCGGAGCAGCAGCCGGGCGGCCUCCCGGAGCACCAGGCCCGCGCGCUCUCCACCGCCUACCGCUGCGUCUGCGCCACCAACGUGCCCAUCCGAACCUUCGGCGACCUGGCCCGUCUCAGGGGAGUUGGAGGUUGGGUUGUUGACGUCAUGGAAGACUCCUUUCCAGGGUCCAGCCUUGAUUUGUCCCCUCCGAGAAGUAAUACACCAGGAGAAACGGGGAAGAAGAACACACGAAACAAACCUUAUGUGCCAUGGUUGAAAUCAGCUGCUUAUGCAAUAAUGAUCACACUCUACAGGGAAAUGGAAAGAGGGAAGGAAUUUAUGAUGAGGCAAGAGCUUAUUGAUGCUGCUGAAGCCAGUGGUCUGUCACAACAUGCAAUAGGCCCAAAUAACAGUAGGAAUUCUCGGAAUGAUGGUUACAGUUUCACUGGAUGGAAUAGCAUGAAGACGUUAACAAAUAAGGAUCUGGUUGAGAAAAAGAGUAAUCCUGCAAAAAAAGCCUCUCACAUGUUUUGGUCCGAGUGUGGAUCGGCUGGAUCCAAAAAUGUGGCUAACCUCUGGUGUGCUUUUGCUUCAUCUCCCUUCUUUAUUUCCACCCUGAAUACAAACAGAAGCUCACCCUGUUCAGUUUGCAUCUCCUUUUCUCUCUCUGGGGCUUUAUUUGCCAAUCACACACAUUCUGGUUCUGCUCAAAAGUGCUUACUAGCUAUGCCACCUCAUCAAUCUAAUGAAAGUUUUCUGAAAGCUUAUGAAGUGGUGCUGAUAUUGGAUGAUCGAGAAACUUUCGGGCCCCAUUCCAGAAGAAAAGUUGUUGGUAAUAUACACUCGCAGAUUAGUAUUCCUAUAGAGAUUAAACACUUGCCUGUUGGAGAUGCUCUUUGGAUUGCUCGCCAUAAAGAACUUGACACGGAGUAUUUUCUUGAUUUCAUUGUUGAAAGGAAAAAUGUGGAUGAUUUUCUUGGCUCAAUUAAAGACAACAGAUACAAAGAUCAAAAACUAAGACUGAAGAAAUGUGGGCUAACGAAGCUAAUAUAUCUAGUUGAAGGGGAUGUAAACACUGUAGAUGGAUCAGAGAGCGUUAAAACAGCCUGCUUCACUACUGAGGUUCUUGAAGGAUUUGAUGUCCAGAGAACCACUGGGUAUGCUGACACUGAAAAGAAAUACGGCCACGUCACGGGCUCUAUAGUGAUUACUACAACACAAACUUCUCUAGGUGUUCUGACCUUGAGAAAGGUCACUAUGAGCGAUAUAUUCGUGCCACAAGUGACAGAAGAAGCUGCUCUUGCUGUCACGAGUCUCUACCCCACUCUUCUCCCGCUUCCUAAGGCGUACACCAUGCUUGAUGGCGAUAGGCGUGCCCAGGAGGAGAUGCUGAAGAACAAGAGCGACAUGGUCAAUGCGGGGGCUAGCAAGAACAUCUUCAAGCUCAUCUGGGCGGGAGGAUGA
rnacentral:rRNA from 1 species